AGGCUAUGCAUGCAAGAAAGAAAACUGCUCAUACACUGGAAAAACUUGGACAGAGCUUCUGAAACAUAAUAAGGAAAGUCACAGAGAAACAAUAGUUUGCAGUGAGUGUUACAAAACUUUUAAACGGAAAGAUUACCUCAAGCAGCAUCAAAAAACGCACGCUGGGGAGAGGGAAGUCUGCCGCUGCCCAAGAGAAGGAUGCGGGAGAACUUACACAACUGUAUUUAACCUUCAAAGCCAUAUCCUCUCUUUUCAUGAAGAGAAAAAACCAUUCUCUUGUGAUUAUCCAGGCUGUGGAAGAGUGUUUGCAAUGAAGCAGAGCCUAGCAAGGCACAAGGUUGUACAUGAUCCUG